rnacentral:rRNA from 1 species
AUACGGAAGAUCCGAGCGUUAUCCGGAUUUAUUGGGUUUAAAGGGAGCGUAGGCGGAAGUUCAAGUCAGCUGUGAAAGUUUGUGGCUUAACCAUAGAAUUGCAGUUGAAACUGAAUUUCUUGAGUGUACAUAAGGAUGGUGGAAUUUGUGGUGUAGCGGUGAAAUGCAUAGAUAUCACGAAGAACUCCGAUUGCGAAGGCAGCCAUCCGGGGUACAACUGACGCUGAGGCUCGAAAGUGCGGGAAUCAAACAGGAUUAGAUACCCUGGUAGUCCGCACCGUAAACGAUGGAUACUCGUGGUUGGCGAUAGACAGUCAGUCACCAAGCGAAAGCGUUAAGUAUCCCACCUGGGGAGUACGCCGGCAACGGUGAA